rnacentral:rRNA from 1 species
UACGGAGGGUGCAAGCAUUAAUCGGAAUGAUUGGGCGUAAAGGGCGCGUAGGCGGGAUAAAAGUUAGAUGUGAAAUUCUGAAGCUCAACUUCAGAGCUGCAUUUAAAACUCUUAUUCUGGAGGGAUGGCGGAGGAAACGGAAUUCCACGUGUAGCGGUGAAAUGCGUAGAUAUGUGGAAGAACACCGGUGGCGAAAGCGGUUUCCUAGCUAUUACCUGACGCUGAGGCGCGAGAGCAAGGGGAGCAAACAGGAUUAGAUACCCCGGUAGU